UACGUAGGGUGCGAGCGUUAAUCGGAAUUACUGGGCGUAAAGGGUUUGUAGGUGGCCAACUAAGUCAGACGUGAAAUCCCUCAGCUUAACUGGGGAACUGCGUCUGAGACUGGAUGGCUUGAGUGCAGGAGAGGAACGCGGAAUUCCAGGUGUAGCGGUGAAAUGCGUAGAUAUCUGGAGGAACACCGGUGGCGAAGGCGACAUCCUGGACCGGUAUUGACGCUGAGGCGCGAAAGCCAGGGGAGCAAACGGG
rnacentral:rRNA from 1 species